GUACAGAUGUGGACCCUGAUGUGCAGAAACUUAAGUCAAUUGCCCAAGGUCGCAUUGCUGGUAUCUCCAUUUGUUAUGCUUGGAAAGUGAGAAAGCAUUCAACUGGCAAAGGAAGUGAACAAAAACAAGAUCAAGAAUAAACAUGACUUAAUUAAAAUCAUAAUGAGGUAUCAUCUUACCCCAGUCAGAAUGUCUCUUAUUAAAAAAAAAAAAAUGAAAACAAAAACAGAUGCUGGCGAGGAUGCAGAGAAUGGAGAAAUCUUACACACCGUUGGCUGGAAUGUAAAGCAGUACAACAUUUAUGGAAAACAGCAUGAAGAUUUCUCUAAGAACUAAAAGAACUACCCUUUGAUCCAACAAUCUACUAAUGGAACCAGAGCAAAUCAAUUGUCUAGCAGCUACGAGGUCUUCU
rnacentral:lncRNA from 10 species